AUGACAUCCAUUCAAGCUAUAUUUAUAUUCUUGUGGCUGCAGCUGGACUCGGUGAAUGGAGAGAAUGUGGAGCAGCAUCCUUCAACUCUGAGUGUCCAGGAGGGAGAGAGCUCUGUUAUCAAGUGUACUUAUUCAGACAGUGCCUCAAACUACUUCCCUUGGUAUAAGCAAGAACUUGGAAAAGGACCUAAGCUUAUUAUAGACAUUCGUUCAAAUGUGGGUGAAAAGAAAGACCAAAGAAUUACUGUUACAUUGAACAAGACAGCCAAACAUUUCUCCCUGCACAUCACAGAGAUCCAACCUGGAGACUCAGCUGUCUACUUCUGUGCAGCAAGGUUAAAACAGCUGGGCAAGAAAGAAUCUGGUUUUGCUGAGAAGUAA